CUCCCAGUCAUAAUAUUCUUUAUCUUGGCUCGUUGUUUGGGGAUGGACGCAUCAAUCUGAUGGCGCUCUCCUCCAUGCCAAACGGAUCCUUGGUUCGGAGGCGCGCGGCGCCGACGAUGACAACCUUUCUAUCGACGCAAGGGCAGCAGGAGCUCAUGACGCUGUUGAUGCCACCACCAUGCAUGGGGUUGAUGCAAGGUGGGACAAUGCGAUCACUAAUGGGGAGAACAUAAAACUUCAAUUGAGGGCACUGUGAUUCUCUAGCUACAUGUAUCAUGGUCACCAACCACACAUGUAAAAACCAUGUCUCCCUACUGUAAUUUGAUGAUUUAUUUACAUGUGGCACAGAAUAGUUCAGAGUUCACUCCGAGAAAGAAUUGCUUUGCAUGUACAUUUGCUAAAAGACGGAUGUGCUGAACUUUCGACGGUUCCGAUUGGUU